AUGUUCACUCUGGAUGUGUUCUCUCCAGAAGCCCAGACCCAGAGCAUACUCGACGAGAUACGCCGCUCGUUGGGGACAGAAAGAAACAAGCUAUGCCAGGCUAUAUCCACGUCAAUGGAGGAAGCCAGGGCACUCAUGGAGGACGAUGACUCGUGGGCUAUCGAGUUUCCGCAAGGAGGAGGCGGGGUUCACAGGAACACCCGGUUGAUGGUGGGUUACAUCGUGUCUAUGACGGAUGCAUUGGUGUCGACGCGGAAGUCUGCACCAAGCCACAACACUGGAAAUCUUCAUGGCCUAAUAGAUGACACCAUCAAACAUUUGAAGGAUCUGCUUCUGAGAAAAUCGGAGCCGUGCUUGGAUGCAAGCAUGAGGUACCUAUUCCUGCUCAACAAUUCCUAUUUCAUAGCCACCAGGGACAUUGUUCGUGGGCCAUACUAUGGAGACUCUCAACACCACCAGGGACUUGAACUCACACCUGAAUGCAAAAACCACAUGGAUAGUUAUCUCGAUGUUUCGUGGGCUCAUGUGAUCUCCUCCGUAUCGAAAUCGAAUCCUCCUGGACCGCUGCGUCGCUGGUUGACCAACACCUCUUCGCUGGCUAAAUUCGAGUCAGCGUUUCAUCAAACCUACCAAGCUCAGAAGCUCUGGAAGGUUCCGGACCCUCGGCUCAGGGAUGCGCUACGAAGGGCUAUCAUCGAGAGAGUCAUCUCAAGUUACAACGACCAUCUGAAGAAGCAUCCUGAGCUAGCGGAGCACGCUAGCCGCGGAAACAGCACUCCCACCGUCUUGGAAGAGAUGUUGGGACAGCUAUUUGAAGGCUGA
rnacentral:rRNA from 1 species